rnacentral:lncRNA from 1 species
GGACAGAACACUGAAGGAAGAGAAGAAAUGGGAUCUCAGAAGAGAUGUCACAAAUUUCCUACAUCCCAAAAAGAUGACAUUUUCAUAUAAACCAGAAAUAUGCCACUUUGUUCGAGAGAAACAGUAGGAUCUACUACUACCAGAUUUCUGCAGAUCAAGAUCGCCUAUAAGCAGCGGGUCAUAUUUAGAAAGUACAAACAUCAUUUACAGCACUCCCAUUUGGGUCAGAUUGCUGAAUAUAGAGUCAAUGGUGAAAUGCUGACUGCAAGGGCUUGUACAAGUGAAAAUUAUAGUACAUAUUUUUUGUUGCUCAUGUAUAAUACUUGCAUGCACACACUUUUAAAGAACUGAUAUAUAUCACAAUUCUAAUAAAGCCUGUUAAGUGUUAUGUGAGGCUCUGGGA